UACGGAGGGUGCAAGCGUUAUCCGGAAUCACUGGGUUUAAAGGGUGCGUAGGCGGCUUGAUAAGUCAGAGGUGAAAGCCCGCAGCUUAACUGCGGAAUUGCCUUUGAUACUGCCGAGCUUGAAAGGGGUUGAGGUCAGCAGAACGUGGCAUGUAGCGGUGAAAUGCAUAGAUAUGUCAUAGAACACCAAUUGCGAAGGCAGCUGGCUGGGCCUACUUUGACGCUGAGGCACGAAAGCGUGGGGAGCGAACAGG
rnacentral:rRNA from 1 species